rnacentral:rRNA from 1 species
UACAGAGGUGGCAAGCGUUGUUCGGAAUUACUGGGCGUAAAGGGCGCGUAGGCGGUUCGUUAAGUCCUGUGUGAAAUCCCCCGGCUCAACUGGGGAACUGCACAGGAAACUAGCGGGCUUGAGUUCGGGAGAGGGAAGCGGAAUUCCGGGUGUAGCGGUGGAAUGCGCAGAUAUCAGGAAGAACACCGACGGCGAAGGCAGCUCGCUGGGACGGUACUGACGCUGAGGCGCGAAAGCGUGGGGAGCGAACAGG